rnacentral:rRNA from 1 species
CAGUCGCCGCGGUAACACGUAGGUGGCAAGCGUUGUCCGGAAUUAUUGGGCGUGAAGGGCUCGCAGGCGGUUUCUUAAGUCUGAUGUGAAAGCCCCCGGCUCAACCGGGGAGGGUCAUUGGAAACUGGGAAACUUGAGUGCAGAAAAGGAGAGUGGAAUUCCACGUGUAGCGGUGAAAUGCGUAGAGAUGUGGAGGAACACCAGUGGCGAAGGCGACUCUCUGGUCUGUAACUGACGCUGAGGAGCGAAAGCGUGGGGAGCGAACAGGAUUAGAUACCCCCGUAGUCCCUGUCUCUUAUAA